rnacentral:rRNA from 1 species
UACGAAGGGGGCUAGCGUUGCUCGGAAUUACUGGGCGUAAAGGGCGCGUAGGCGGAUGGCACAGUCAGAUGUGAAAUUCCCGGGCUUAACCUGGGGGCUGCAUUUGAUACGUGUUGUCUAGAGUGAGGAAGAGGGUUGUGGAAUUCCCAGUGUAGAGGUGAAAUUCGUAGAUAUUGGGAAGAACACCGGUGGCGAAGGCGGCAACCUGGUCCUUGACUGACGCUGAGGCGCGAAAGCGUGGGGAGCAAACAGG